CAACAUAUAUAAGGUAGACAUUGUGAGAUUAGAAUCUCUUCAAUAAGUUACCUUGGUUGGAGAAAGCAAGGGCCUUUAAAAGAGUGAAGUGCUGGGGGUCCUGGGUGCUGCCACCAUUUGGAGUCAUUGGUACAAUCAGCACCUCACAGCUAUGACUGGAGUGAGCUUCUGAAGACUUACUGAGAACCUUUGAUGGAAGUAAAACCUCUGAAAAACUUUAUUGCUGUUGACAGCUGAUAGGAAGGGACUAAAGAAGACUUUUGAGGACAACUGAACUGGCUGCUACACUUCAAGGUUAGGCUUCUUCAGUGUACAUCAUGCAGUAAAAUCUGUGAUCCAAGAGAAGACAGAAAACAGUAGACUCAACAAGAGGCAUUUCUCUUUGUUAUUACUAGAGGAAAAAUACUGGUUUUCUUGGGAAACCAUCUCAC
rnacentral:lncRNA from 1 species